rnacentral:rRNA from 1 species
AGAGUUUGAUCAUGGCUCAGAUUGAACGCUGGCGGCAGGCCUAACACAUGCAAGUCGAGCGGUAGCACAGAGAGCUUGCUCUCGGGUGACGAGCGGCGGACGGGUGAGUAAUGUCUGGGAAACUGCCUGAUGGAGGGGGAUAACUACUGGAAACGGUAGCUAAUACCGCAUAAUGUCGCAAGACCAAAGUGGGGGACCUUCGGGCCUCAUGCCAUCAGAUGUGCCCAGAUGGGAUUAGCUAGUAGGUGGGGUAACGGCUCACCUAGGCGACGAUCCCUAGCUGGUCUGAGAGGAUGACCAGCCACACUGGAACUGAGACACGGUCCAGACUCCUACGGGAGGCAGCAGUGGGGAAUAUUGCACAAUGGGCGCAAGCCUGAUGCAGCCAUGCCGCGUGUGUGAAGAAGGCCUUCGGGUUGUAAAGCACUUUCAGCGGGGAGGAAGGCGUUAAGGUUAAUAACCUUGGCGAUUGACGUUACCCGCAGAAGAAGCACCGGCUAACUCCGUGCCAGCAGCCGCGGUAAUACGGAGGGUGCAAGCGUUAAUCGGAAUUACUGGGCGUAAAGCGCACGCAGGCGGUCUGUCAAGUCGGAUGUGAAAUCCCCGGGCUUAACCUGGGAACUGCAUUCGAAACUGGCAGGCUAGAGUCUUGUAGAGGGGGGUAGAAUUCCAGGUGUAGCGGUGAAAUGCGUAGAGAUCUGGAGGAAUACCGGUGGCGAAGGCGGCCCCCUGGACAAAGACUGACGCUCAGGUGCGAAAGCGUGGGGAGCAAACAGGAUUAGAUACCCUGGUAGUCCACGCCGUAAACGAUGUCGAUUUGGAGGUUGUGCCCUUGAGGCGUGGCUUCCGGAGCUAACGCGUUAAAUCGACCGCCUGGGGAGUACGGCCGCAAGGUUAAAACUCAAAUGAAUUGACGGGGGCCCGCACAAGCGGUGGAGCAUGUGGUUUAAUUCGAUGCAACGCGAAGAACCUUACCUGGUCUUGACAUCCACAGAACUUAGCAGAGAUGCUUUGGUGCCUUCGGGAACUGUGAGACAGGUGCUGCAUGGCUGUCGUCAGCUCGUGUUGUGAAAUGUUGGGUUAAGUCCCGCAACGAGCGCAACCCUUAUCCUUUGUUGCCAGCGGUCCGGCCGGGAACUCAAAGGAGACUGCCAGUGAUAAACUGGAGGAAGGUGGGGAUGACGUCAAGUCAUCAUGGCCCUUACGACCAGGGCUACACACGUGCUACAAUGGCAUAUACAAAGAGAAGCGACCUCGCGAGAGCAAGCGGACCUCAUAAAGUAUGUCGUAGUCCGGAUUGGAGUCUGCAACUCGACUCCAUGAAGUCGGAAUCGCUAGUAAUCGUAGAUCAGAAUGCUACGGUGAAUACGUUCCCGGGCCUUGUACACACCGCCCGUCACACCAUGGGAGUGGGUUGCAAAAGAAGUAGGUAGCUUAACCUUCGGGAGGGCGCUUACCACUUUGUGAUUCAUGACUGGGGUGAAGUCGUAACAAGGUAACCGUAGGGGAACCUGCGGUUGGAUCACCU